GGAAUAUUGGACAAUGGGGGCAACCCUGAUCCAGCGAUGCCGCGUGUGUGAAGAAGGCCUGAGGGUUGUAAAGCACUUUAGCUGGGGAGGAAGAGCCUAUAUAUGAAUAAGAUAUAGGAAUGACGUUACCCAAAGAAUAAGCACCGGCUAACUCUGUGCCAGCAGCCGCGGUAAUACAGAGGGUGCAAGCGUUAAUCGGAAUGACUGGGCGUAAAGAGUACGUAGGCGGAUAGAUGUGUCAAAGGUGAAAUCCCCGGGCUUAACCUGGGAACUGCCUGUGAAACUAUCUGACUAGAAUAUAGGAGAGGGAAGUGGAAUUUCCGGUGUAGCGGUGAAAUGCGUAGAUAUCGGAAAGAACACCGGUGGCGAAGGCGACUUCCUGGCCUAAUAUUGACGCUGAGGUACGAAAGCGUGGGGAGCAAAC
rnacentral:rRNA from 1 species